GUCUACAGCCAUGCCACCCUGAACGUGCCUGAUCUUGUUUGAUCUUAGAAGCUAAACAGGGUCGGGCCUGGUUACUACUUGGAUGGGAGACCACCUAGGAAGACCAGGUGCUGUAGAGG
rnacentral:rRNA from 1 species